rnacentral:rRNA from 1 species
ACGCCUGAUGAGAGCAACGCCGGGGUGGUGUGAUGAAGGCUUUCGGGUCGUAAAGCACUGUUGUAUGAGAAGAACAGCUAGAAUAGGGAAUGAUUUUAGUUUGACGGUACCAUACCAGAAAGGGACGGCUAAAUACGUGCCAGCAGCCGCGGUAAUACGUAUGUCCCGAGCGUUAUCCGGGAUUUAUUGGGCGUAAAGCGAGCGCAGACGGUUGAUUAAGUCUGAUGUGAAAGCCCGGAGCUCAACUCCGGAAUGGCAUUGGAAACUGGUUAACUUGAGUGCAGUAGAGGUAAGUGGAACUCCAUGUGUAGCGGUGGAAUGCGUAGAUAUAUGGAAGAACACCAGUGGCGAAGGCGGCUUACUGGACUGUAACUGACGUUGAGGCUCGAAAGUGUGGGUAGCAAACAGGAUUAGAUACCCUGGUAGUCCACACCGUAAACGAUGAACACUAGGUGUUAGGAGGUUUCCGCCUCUUAGUGCCGAAGCUAACGCAUUAAGUGUUCCGCCUGGGGAGUACGACCGCAAGGUUGAAACUCAAAGGAAUUGACGGGGACCCGCACAAGCGGUGGAGCAUGUGGUUUAAUUCGAAGCAACGCGAAGAACCUUACCAGGUCUUGACAUCCUUUGAAGCUUUUAGAGAUAGAAGUGUUCUCUUCGGAGACAAAGUGACAGGUGGUGCAUGGUCGUCGUCAGCUCGUGUCGUGAGAUGUUGGGUUAAGUCCCGCAACGAGCGCAACCCUUAUUGUUAGUUGCCAGCAUUCAGAUGGGCACUCUAGCGAGACUGCCGGUGACAAACCGGAGGAAGGCGGGGACGACGUCAGAUCAUCAUGCCCCUUAUGACCUGGGCUACACACGUGCUACAAUGGCGUAUACAACGAGUUGCCAACCCGCGAGGGUGAGCUAAUCUCUUAAAGUACGUCUCAGUUCGGAUUGUAGUCUGCAACUCGACUACAUGAAGUCGGAAUCGCUAGUAAUCGCGGAUCAGCACGCCGCGGUGAAUACGUUCCCGGGUCUUGUACACACCGCCCGUCACACCAUGGGAGUUUGUAAUGCCCAAAGCCGGUGGCCUAACCUUUUAGGAAGGAGCCGUCUAAGGCAGGACAGAUGACUGGGGUGAAGUCGUAACAAGAGCGUGGCCC